rnacentral:precursor_RNA from 10 species
UGAACGAAAGGGACUCUACUCAUGUGGGUGAAGGUACCAUUAGGUGUUCACAUAAUUAAUGUUGUGAACACAGCUGGUGGUAUCUUUUCUUCUGUGAGAGAAUUCGGCAAAAACUUCU